rnacentral:misc_RNA from 1 species
GGAAAUCAAGGAUUGUCAGCCUUUCUUGUCGAUAUGCGGAGCUCGGCCAGAAAUUACGAUUGGGUCAGUAUUGCGAAAUAUUCAGCCUCAACAGAUCGAUGAACCAUGGAAAUCUAUUAUCGGGAUGCCAGAGUCCAAUCAAUUAGUUGAGUUUGACCCAAGAGUUAGAAGUCUGAAAAUGGUUGAUGCUCAAGAUAAUCAAGGUGACUCUUUAAUAUUCGGUUCUUCAUCUGAAGAAGAAUUCAAAAAGUACGAGAAAGUCUCGGAGUUCCUUGUGCCCUGUCCAAGUGAAGAUAAUAAAUGUGCAUUAAAUUU